UGUUGCUGCCCCUUAAUCCUUAGCACCAUGAGUGGCUAAGUUCCCUUUGCCUUUAGGUAUAGAUGAACCUUUGAUAAUUGGUAUUUAAUUUCUGGUU